AAAAAAACAGAAACAGAGAAAGGAGGGGGCAGAGGAAGGGAGGGAGGAAAAAAGAGUCAGACAGAGAGAUAGACUGAUAGACAGAGACAGAGAUAGAGUUUUAGAGAAAGAAAGUAUUUAAUUAUCAUCCUGAGAUUGUAAGUGCGUUUUAACUCACACUUAUAUUCCCCUAGCAUCUAACACAGAACACAUAAUAAGCCAGAAUAAAUGUAUAUUCAUUUGAUUGGAAUUCCUUAACCAUUCACCUCAUAUACAAUGUAGGCCUGUGUAGGUGCUCAGUAAAUUCUUGUGGAACAGUAUGGUGCACAGGACAAAUGCUGCAGUCAGAUUCAGGGAACUGGAGUUUGGAUCCUCAGCUUGCCUCUGCUACUUCCUAUCCCAGUGGUUUCAUUGGUGUACGACAAUGAGAAAACAACCUUUACUAAUAAACUUCAGUGCCUACUCUGAAGUUUAUAGUCUUUGAGAUUUGGUGGGACAAUGAGAGGGAUUGCUUUCCCUGGCAUUAUUGUAUUCACUGUUCACAGAAUCACAGAAGCCUUUAUUUGGAAGAAAUCUCAUCAAUCAUUAGGUAAAACCCAUAAAUAUAGCACUAGAUCAUUCUCCACCAAUGGUUAUCCUGUAUAUACUUGAAAAUCUCUAAAGAAAAGGAAUUCUUCACUUCCAGAGGAAGCUAUUUAACUUUGGGGUGAUAAUAACUACUAGGAAGUUUUUUCCUCAUAUCAAGUAUAAAUUUUCUUCUUUACAACUUCCACUACCUAGUCCUCAUUCCUCUCCUGGUUCCUCUUCUGACCUUGUCUCCAUGUCUCUUCUGCCUUCUUAUCCUGAAACUUCCACCUGCCCUUGAGGUACUUCCUCUCCCAUUGCUGAGUUCAUUUCAGGACUUCCAUUUUGGGGACAGAUCUAAGAUGGUCUUUUAUUUUUCUCAUGGCUUUGCUUGGGCUCUGUGGGCUUUUCUCUCUCUUUUUUUUAGUUUUUAAUUUUCAAAAUAUAUGCAUAGAUAAUUUUCAACAUUCACUUUUGCAAAACCUUGUGUUUCAAAUUUUUUUCUCCUUCCUUUCCUCUUACCCCAUUCCUUAGACAAGUAAUUCAAUAUAUGUUAAACAUGCAAUUAUUGAUAGGAAAACUGGAAAAUAAUAUGUCAGAAACUUGUCAUGGACCUACACUAUACCACCUACCCCAAACCAAAAUAAAAUCAAACUAGGUACAUGAUUUGGGCAUAGAGGAUGAUACCAUAAAUAAAUCAGAAGAGCAAUUUACCCAUCAGAUCUUUGGAGAAGGGAGGAAUUUCUGACCAAAGAAAAAUUAGAGAACAUUAUAAAAGGCAAAAUGGACAACUUUGAUUACAUUAAAUUAAAAAGGUUUUGCACAAACAAAACCAACAGAAACAAGAUUAAAAGAGAAGUACAAAGCUGGGAAAAAAUCUUUACAAGUAAUGUUUGUGAUAAAGAUUUCAUUUCUUGAAUGUAAACUGCUUGCAUUUUUGUUUUUCUUCCCGGGUUAUUUAUAGCUUCUGAAUCCAAUUCUCCCUGUGCAACAAGAGAACUGUUUGGUUCUGCAUACAUAUAUUGUAUCUAGGAUAUACUGUGACAUAUUUAACAUGUAUAGGACUGCUUGCCAUCUGGGGGAGGGGGUGGAGGGAGGGAGGGGAAAAAUCGGAACAGAAGUGAGUGCAAGGGAUAAUGUAAAAAAUUACCCUGGCAUGGGUUCUGUCAAUAAAAAGUUAUUUAAAAACAAGAUUUCAUUUCUAAAAUAUAUAAAGAACUAAGUCAAAUUUAUAAGAAUACAAGUCAUUCCCCAAUUGAUAAAUGAUCAAAAAAUAUGAACAAUUUUCAGGUUGUGAAAUUAAAGCCAUCUAUAGGCAUUUGAAAAAGUGCUCUAAGUCACUAUUGAUUAGAGAAAUGCAAAUUAAGACAAUUCUGAUGAUCACCUCACACAUAUCAGAUUGGCUAAGAUGAUAGGAAAAGAUAAUGAUUAAUGGAGUGAUGUGGGAAUUGUGCAAUGCUAAUGCAUUAUUGGUGGAGUUGUGAAAUUAUCCAACCAUUUUGGAGAGCAAUCUGAUUCUAUGCCCAAAGGAGUAUCAAACUAUGAUCCAGCACUAUCACUCAGGUGCAAAAUGUUUAUAGCAGCUCUUUUUGUAGUAGCAAAGAAAUGGAAAAUGAAUGAAUGCCCAUCAAUUGGGGAAUGGCUGAAUAAGUUGUGGUACAUGAAAAUAAUGGAAUAUAAUCAGAGUCCCAAAAAACUAUUUUAAUGACCUAGAAAAAAUAACAACAAAGUUCAUAUGGAAAAACAAAAGGUCAAGAAUUGCAAGGGAAUUAAUGAAAAAAAAAUCAAAUGAAGGUGGCUUAGCUGUACCAGAUCUAAAAUUAUAUUAUAGAGCAGCAGUUACCAAAACUAUUUGGUAUUGGUUAAGGAAUAGAUUAGUUGAUCAGUGGAAUAGAUUAGGUUCAAGGGAUAAAACAGUCAACAAAUAUAGCAACC
ensembl:lncRNA